UACGGGGGGAGCAAACGUUGUUCGGAUUCAUUGGGCGUAAAGGGUGCGUAGGCGGCGCGGUAAGUCGGGUGUGAAAUCUCGGAGCUUAACUCCGAAACUGCAUUCGAUACUGCCGUGCUUGAGGACUGGAGAGGAGACUGGAAUUUACGGUGUAGCGGUGAAAUGCGUAGAUAUCGUAAGGAAGACCAGUGGCGAAGGCGGGUCUCUGGACAGUUCCUGACGCUGAGGCACGAAGGCCAGGGGAGCAAACGGG
rnacentral:rRNA from 1 species